rnacentral:rRNA from 1 species
UCCAAGAAUGUUUCCAUUAAUCAAGAACGAAAGUUAGAGGUUCGAAGGCGAUCAGAUACCGCCCUAGUUCUAACCAUAAACGAUGCCAGCCAGCGAUCCGGCUGUGUUCCUCAAAUGACACGCCGGGCAGCUUCCGGGAAACCAAAGCUUUUGGGUUCCGGGGGAAGUAUGGUUGCAAAGCUGAAACUUAAAGGAAUUGACGGAAGGGCACCACCAGAAAUGGAGCCUGCGGCUUAAUUUGACUCAACACGGGAAAACUUACCCGGCCCGGACACAGGAAGGAUUGACAGAUUAAGAGCUCUUUCUUGAUUCUGUGGGUGGUGGUGCAUGGCCGUUCUUAGUUGGUGGGGCGACUUGUCUGGUUAAUUCCGAUAACGAACGAGACUCUAGCCUACUAAAUAGACGUUCCCGUCAUCUUUCGCGGGACGUUCUUCUUAGAGGGACAAGCGGCGUUUAGCCGCACGAGACAGAGCAAUAACAGGUCUGAGAUGCCCUUAGAUGUCCGGGGCCGCACGCGCGCUACAUUGAAGGAAUCAGCGUGUGCUUUCCCUGUCCGAAAGGACUGGGUAACCCGUUGAACCUCCUUCGUGCUGGGGAUUGGCGAUUGUAAUUGACGCCAUGAACGAGGAAUUCCCAGUAAGCACGAGUCAUCAGCUCGUGUUGAUUACGUCCCUGCCCUUUGUCCACACCGCCCGUCGCUACUACCGAUUGAAUGAUUUAGUGAGGUCUUCGGACUGGCGCUCGGAUUGGCCUUCGCGGUCGAGCCGGUGUGCCGGAAAGAUGACCAAACUUGAUCAUUUAGAGGAAGUAAAAGUCGUAACAAUGCCCCGUUUUCGUAGGGACGCG